GAUGAACGCUGGCGGCGUGCCUAAUACAUGCAAGUCGAGCGAACAGACGAGGAGCUUGCUCCUCUGACGUUAGCGGCGGACGGGUGAGUAACACGUGGAUAACCUACCUAUAAGACUGGGAUAACUUCGGGAAACCGGAGCUAAUACCGGAUAAUAUAUUGAACCGCAUGGUUCAAUAGUGAAAGACGGUUUUGCUGUCACUUAUAGAUGGAUCCGCGCCGCAUUAGCUAGUUGGUAAGGUAACGGCUUACCAAGGCAACGAUGCGUAGCCGACCUGAGAGGGUGGUCGGCCACCCUGGAACUGAGGCACCGUCCCGACUCCUACGGGGGGCAACAGUAGGGAAUCUUCCGCAAUGGGCGAAAGCCUGACGGAGCAACGCCGCGUGGGUGAUGAAGGUCUUCGGAUCGUAAAACUCUGUUAUUAGGGAAGAACAAAUGUGUAAGUAACUAUGCACGUCUUGACGGUACCUAAUCAGAAAGCCACGGCUAACUACGUG
rnacentral:rRNA from 1 species